AUCUCAAGUCUCUCUUGUAGGUCUAAUAACUAUUAGGCAAUUAUGUCAUAUAAUUUCCAAGAAAAUGGGAGAAGGUAAUAGUACCAUCUUUGCGUAUCCAAUGAAAGGAAGAAGUUUCACCCAAGAAUUAAGUCUCAUUUAAGGAAGGGUCACGUGAGAAAUAAACUCUCUGUUAGAGGUGGAUGGAAUAUUUAAUAGAGGGAUGAUUUUGGUCAAAAGCUAUAUUAAAGACACAUUUCCUGUGUAUGAUAACACGUGUCUUCAAUACACCAUCCAUCCAUGUUUACUUGAAUAGUAUGAUCUUCUCAUAUUCUCUCUUUUCAUCCAGAAGCUGCUAUCGCUCGAUUUCUUACUCUCUUCAGAAGAUUUUCUGGUUUACAUACUUCUUCAUCCUAAGGGUACAAAUCAUUUUGUAGUGGCGAUGACCCCAUCGAAGUGUAAUGAUAUGGCCUGGUAAGGGAAGCCCGAGAGAAAUUAUUGGCAAAGUACGAGAUUAUUUGAAUAAGAAUUCGAAGAUAGGCAUAUGAAAAGGAUAAGAAGCGAUCAUAUGGAGCAAAACAGGAAUGUUUUUGCUGAGCCCAAGAGAGCAUGCCUUCAGAUUAGAUUGUGCCAGGAGUGAUUCGCUCUACUACCCGUAAGCUGUAUACCCUGUUUCUUCAUUUGUAAGAGUUAUUUUUGUAUACAGUAAAAAUCGGAUAUGCGUUAAACCGGUGAGAUUAGGAACCGAAGGAAGAAGGGGACAAGAACAUGCACGAGGACUUUCAUUCUGAACCGGAGGAACGCUUGGACCGAAGCCAAGGAAGGGCAUCAUUUGACCCGGUUUCUUCAUGGCCGAGUUGGUCGUUGCCGUUGGUCCGUUUGGCCGUUAGUCUGUUUAUUCGUGGCCGUUGGUCCGGGAGAUCCGUUGCGCGAUUGCCAUGCGUCAAUUACGUCCUGCCAUGUUCAACUGCAAUCAUACGGGUGUCAGACCGUACGGCCAACCUAACCCAACCUAAUCCAAGUCAGAGUUUUUCUUUAUUUUUAGUUUUCUCUUAUUGUAUGGAGCCUAUGAGGCAACACUAUAAAUAAGGGUCAUUGCCCACUUUUAAGGGGUUGGCUCCCUCAUAUUAAGAACUCUUGUAAUAACAAAAAUUAUAUAAAAUUUCUCUCUCAAAUAUCAGAUUUCGGUCCA